rnacentral:lncRNA from 1 species
CCAUUGUUGAUUAAGAUUCAGUUUAAAACCUUCAAUUCAUCUUGCAAAUUCAGUGCUUGUUUCCUCGUUCUUGCUAGUUCUUCGAUUGCUUGCAGGACGGGAGCCCUAGGGGCUGGUUGUCGCGCUCCACAAGAUCGUGACGGCUGUUGGACGUGGUGUAUCGGUUGCUAAGGCGCGGUCUUGAGGGCUGUAGUCGGGCCGUGAAUGUCAUCUCCAUCCACUAAUCGAGUUAUCCAGCGCCUCUCAUCGAAAGAUCAGGCCAAAAACCCUAGCGGGUUCGCAAC